CCUCUUCCAUGUCGGAUCAAGAUUUUGUUUUGAAUUGAUUUUUUUUUUUAAAAGUGCUAAGCAGAUGCUACCCUGUAAGAAGAGGAAACAGAAGCAAAAACUGAAAGACUGUUACUAAAACCAAUGAACAGCUGCAGAGAGUGGAGACCCAGCAAAGCAGACAAAUGAAUACUGUGAAUAAAUAACCUGAAAGCAAAUGGGGAAGAAAACCUCCUCUGGGUAAUUGUGGCUCUUGGGACCAAAAUCAGGUUCCUGGGAAAGGAUCCCCAAAGGAGAUGUAAGGAUCCGGGACUCUAGUGUCUGCCAGAAGCUUCAGCCACCUUCACAGGUUAGAGCUCGCCCUCCAUUGCGGAGGUGAAGACCGGAUGGGAG